rnacentral:rRNA from 1 species
GGCUCAUCACAUCCUGGGGCUGUAGUCGGUCCCAAGGGUAUGGCUGUUCGCCAGUUUAAAGUCGGUACGCGAGCUGGGUUCAGAACGUCGUGAGACAGUUCGGUCCCUAUCUGCCAUGGGCGUUGGAGAUUUGAGAGGGGCUGCUCCUAGUACGAGAGGACCGGAGUGGACGAACCUCUGGUGUUCCGGUUGUCACGCCAGUGGCAUUGCCGGGUAGCUAUGUUCGGAAGCGAUAACCGCUGAAAGCAUCUAAGCGGGAAGCGCGCCUCAAGAUGAGAUCUCCCGGGGCACAAGCCCCCUGAAGGAACCAUGUAGACUACGUGGUUGAUAGGUCAGGUGUGUAAGUACAGCAAUGUAUUGAGCUAACUGAUACUAAUGAUCCGUGCGGCUUGACCAUAUAACCUCA